rnacentral:rRNA from 1 species
GACGAACGCUGGCGGCGUGCCUAAUACAUGCAAGUUGAGCGCUGAAGGUUGGUACUUGUACCAACUGGAUGAGCAGCGAACGGGUGAGUAACGCGUGGGGAAUCUGCCUUUGAGCGGGGGACAACAUUUGGAAACGAAUGCUAAUACCGCAUAAAAACUUUAAACACAAGUUUUAAGUUUGAAAGAUGCAAAUGCAUCACUCAAAGAUGAUCCCGCGUUGUAUUAGCUAGUUGGUGAGGUAAAGGCCCACCAAGGCGAUGAUACAUAGCCGACCUGAGAGGGUGAUCGGCCACAUUGGGACUGAGACACGGCCCAAACUCCUACGGGAGGCAGCAGUAGGGAAUCUUCGGCAAUGGACGAAAGUCUGACCGAGCAACGCCGCGGGAGUGAAGAAGGGUUUCGGAUCGUAAAACUCUGUUGGUAGAGAAGAACGUUGGUGAGAGUGGAAAGCUCAUCAAGUGACGGUAACUACCCAGAAAGGGACGGCUAACUACGUG